AUUAAUUCGAUGCAACGCGAAAACCUUACCUACCCUUGACAUGUCCGGAAUCCGAAGAGAUUUGGGAGUGCUCGCAAGAGAGCCGGAACACAGGUGCUGCAUGGCUGUCGUCAGCUCGUGUCGUGAGAUGUUGGGUUAAGUCCCGCAACGAGCGCAACCCUUGUCAUUAGUUGCCAUCAUUUGGUUGGGCACUCUAAUGAGACUGCCGGUGACAAACCGGAGGAAGGUGGGGAUGACGUCAAGUCCUCAUGGCCCUUAUAGGUGGGGCUACACACGUCAUACAAUGGCUGGUACAAAGGGUUGCCAACCCGCGAGGGGGAGCCAAUCCCAUAAAGCCAGUCGUAGUCCGGAUCGUAGUCUGCAACUCGACUACGUGAAGUCGGAAUCGCUGGUAAUCGUGGAUCAGAAUGUCACGGUGAAUACGUUCCCGGGUCUU
rnacentral:rRNA from 1 species